GACCGACCAAAUCCCUCUGGAACUGCCACCAUUGCUGAACGGAGAGGUAGCCAUGAUGCCCCACUUGGUGAAUGGAGAUGCAGCUCAGCAGGUUAUUCUCGUUCAAGUUAAUCCAGGUGAGACUUUCACAAUAAGAGCAGAGGAUGGAACACUUCAGUGCAUUCAAGGACCUGCUGAAGUUCCCAUGAUGUCACCCAAUGGAUCCAUUCCUCCCA
rnacentral:misc_RNA from 1 species